AGAAUCAACGCUGGCGGCGUGCCUCAGACAUGCAAGUCGAACGCGAAAGUCCCCUUCGGGGGAUGAGUAGAGUGGCGCACGGGUGAGUAACACGUAGGUAAUCUACCUUCGGAUGGGGAAUAACAACCGGAAACGGUUGCUAAUACCGCAUAAUGCAGCGGCACCUAAUGGUGACAGUUGUUAAAGCGGGGGAUCGAAAGACCUCGCGUCUGAAGAGGAGCCUGCGGCGGAUUAGCUAGUUGGUAAGGUAAUGGCUUACCAAGGCUACGA
rnacentral:rRNA from 1 species